rnacentral:rRNA from 1 species
CCUACGGGAGGCAGCAGUGAGGAAUAUUGGUCAAUGGGCGGAAGCCUGAACCAGCCAAGUCGCGUGAGGGAAUAAGGCCCUACGGGUCGUAAACCUCUUUUGCCGGGGAGCAAGGGCGGGGACGUGUCCCGGCCCGGAGAGUACCCGGAGAAAAAGCAUCGGCAAACUCCGUGCCAGCAGCCGCGGUAAUACGGAGGAUGCGAGCGUUAUCCGAUUUAAUUGGGUUUAAAGGGUGCGUAGGCGGGCUUUAAGUCAGCGGUAAAAAUUCGGGGCUCAACCCCGUCCGGCCGUUGAAACUGGGGGGCUUGAGUAGGCGAGAAGAAGGCGGAAUGCGUGGUGUAGCGGUGAAAUGCAUAGAUAUCACGCAGAACCCCGAUGGCGAAGGCAGCCUUCCGGCGCCCUACUGACGCUGAGGCACGAAAGUGCGGGGAUCGAACAGGAUUAGAUACCCGUGUAGUC